AUGGAGGUUCAUCCCAUCCUCCCCCAUCCUCCCCCAUCCCGGCCACCCCACCACGGAAAGCAAAGCGAAGUUCGUUCUCCCGCAGGGCCACAGAGGAGCCGGCUCGGGGGCCCAGGGCAGAAGCUGAGCGAGCAGGGGGGGGGGCGGGGAGAAGGCGCAGAGGAGCGCGGUGCACUUUGCUUUGCGCCUCUGCAGAUGCACGCCAGAGCCCCGGGCCGCUCCCGUCCUUACCCCGUCUCCCGGAGACCCGGUCCUGCUACUGCGGCGCGAAGCAAGGGCCGAGGGGACGCGGCGUCGGGGCGGGCCGCCGGCUGCAGCCUCGGGCGCCGAGGGCCACCGCCGCUUCGCGGAGCUGCUGCGGGCGUGCGCCGGGGGAGCCGAAGAAGGAGCCUGGGGACGGGGGGAAGGGGAGCCGCAUCUCCUUCUCCUCCUCGCCUCGGAAACGCCCCUCCGCGGCGGCCCCCGCCGACCGCCGGACCCCGGAGCGCCGAGCACCCUCUCCGCCCUCCCGCGCUCGGCGCGCCUCCCAGAGCCUCUGCAGCCACAGCCUCCGGCGCGGGACGGCGCGGGCCGGCUCAGCUCCUGCAGCGGGCUCCGAGCGCUGCCGACCGGGCCGAGGCGGAGCGGGGGGCGAGCGAGCGCAGCGCGCCAGCGAGACGGGCGCCGGGGGCCGCGAGCAUGGCGUGGGACCCUCGCCGCACCACGGCCGCCGCAGCUACUAGCACAGCCCCCGCGGCGCCGCAGGCAGCCGCGCGGCCCCGCCCCCGGCCCCGCCCCCGCAGCCCCGGCCCCGCCCCCCGCAGCCCCGGCCCCGCCCCGCGCAGCCCCGGCCCCGCCCCCGCUGCCGUCACUCAAGCCCGCCCCCUCCCGGCGCUCCCCUCCGCCCAUUGGCCCUCCCGGCCUCCGGCUCCGCCCCCUCCCGGGGGACGAGGUCGCCGCGGAGACCGGCGCCCCGGUUCCCAUGACAACCGGUGCCCGGGGCCUCGCUUUUCGGGUUGUGGCCGAGCAGACGCUCUGGCAGAUCGCGGGGCUGCAAAAGUAAGGACUGUGAUGGGAACUUUGCCCAGAGGAGAAGCAGAAGCAAGAUAAGUAAUCUACCAAAACAUGAGCAGCUCAUCCUGUUAAAGAUCUGUUGUUACUGUUACAAGAUAUUGAGGGGG
rnacentral:lncRNA from 1 species